rfam:Nomascus leucogenys chromosome 21, whole genome shotgun sequence.
AUCACUUAGGAAUCUUGUUAAAAUUCAGAUUUUGAUUCAGGAGGUCUGAGAAGGUGUCUAAUAUUCUGCAUUUCUAACAAUUUUCUUAGUGAUGCCAA